AGAGUUUGAUCAUGGCUCAGGACGAACGCUGGCGGCGUGCUUAACACAUGCAAGUCGAGCGGAAAGGCCCUUCGGGGUACUCGAGCGGCGAACGGGUGAGUAACACGUGAGUAAUCUGCCCCUAGCUCUGGGAUAGCUCCGGGAAACCGGGAUUAAUACCGGAUACGACCACUACAGACAUCUGUUCUGGUGGAAAGAAUUUCGGCUAGGGAUGAGCUCGCGGCCUAUCAGCUUGUUGGUGGGGUAACGGCCUACCAAGGCGACGACGGGUAGCCGGCCUGAGAGGGCGACCGGCCACACUGGGACUGAGACACGGCCCAGACUCCUACGGGAGGCAGCAGUGGGGAAUAUUGCGCAAUGGGCGAAAGCCUGACGCGGCGACGCCGCGUGGGGGAUGAAGGCCUUCGGGUUGUAAACCCCUUUCAGCAGGGACGAAGCGAAAGUGACGGUACCUGCAGAAGAAGCGCCGGCUAACUACGUGCCAGCAGCCGCGGUAACACGUAGGGCGCAAGCGUUGUCCGGAAUUAUUGGGCGUAAAGAGCUCGUAGGCGGUCUGUUGCGUCCGCUGUGAAAACUCGGGGCUUAACCCCGAGCCUGCAGUGGAUACGGGCAGACUAGAGGUAGGUAGGGGAGAAUGGAAUUCCCGGUGUAGCGGUGAAAUGCGCAGAUAUCGGGAGGAACACCGGUGGCGAAGGCGGUUCUCUGGGCCUUACCUGACGCUGAGGAGCGAAAGCGUGGGGAGCGAACAGGAUUAGAUACCCUAGUAGUCC
rnacentral:rRNA from 1 species